rnacentral:piRNA from 1 species
UUGGAGACAGAUUUGGACAGCUAAGAAAU